rnacentral:rRNA from 1 species
UAAUACGUAGGGGGCAAGCGUUGUCCGGAUUCAUUGGGCGUAAAGAGCGUGUAGGCGGCCAGGUAGGUCGGUUGUGAAAACUGGAGGCUCAACCUUCAGAGGUCGACCGAAACCAUCUGGCUAGAGUCCGGGAGAGGAGAGUGGAAUUCCUGGUGUAGCGGUGAAAUGCGCAGAUAUCAGGAAGAACACCCGUGGCGAAAGCGGCUCUCUGGAACGGUACUGACGCUGAGACGCGAAAGCGUGGGGAGCGAACAGGAUUAGAUACCCUGGUAGUCCACGCCGUAAACGAUGGGCGCUAGGUGUGGGAGGUGUCGACUCCUUCCGUGCCGAAGCUAACGCAUUAAGCGCCCCGCCUGGGGAGUACGGCCGCAAGGCU